rnacentral:lncRNA from 1 species
CCCUGCCCGGGGCAAGGGAGCCCUGCCCAGGGCAACCGAGCCCCGCCUGGGGCAAUCGAGCCCUGCCCGGGGCAAGGGAGCCCUGCCCGGGGCAAUCGAUCCCCGCCCGGGGCAAUCGAACCCUGCUCGGGGCAAUUGAUCCCCGCCGGGGCAAUCGAUCCCCGCCUGGGGCAAUCGAUCCCCGCCCGGGGCAAUUGAUCCCUGCCCGGGGCAAUUGAUCCCCGCCCGGGGCAAUCGAUCCCCGCCUGGGGCAAUCGAUCCCCGCCGGGGGCAAUCGAUCCCUGCCCGGGGCAUUCGAGCCCCGCUGGGCACGCACAGCUGCCCCCGGAACUCUGGACGCCGCCCCCACCCACUGUGGGUGGACAGACAGACAGACAGACAGACCUCAGGGCCUGGGCCCCCUCCGGCCCGGCCCCCCCGUUCCGGAGGGUCCCGGAGCCAUCGGCCCCCACAACAAAGCCGGGGGUUGAGCUCCCGGUGUCGGUGUCUGCGUGGGGCCGGGCAGCGCACGGGGCCCCCUGCCUGACGUCUCCUCGCUCUUCCAGUACAGUUCUGGUAUCUCAUUUUCUUUCAGCAUAAUAGAGAUCAUAAAAUAAUAAAUCAUAAAAUAAUAAAUCGUUCUGAACGGGGGAGUCACAGUUCUCAUCUCUUCCCUCGUCCUGGGGACCCUCAAACACCACCACAAUCACCGGCUUGAGCUGGGCUGGGCAGCACCAAAUAAAAUAAAAAGCUUUAAAAAUAGAAAACUUAGAAAUAAAAAUGAAAUAAAAAACAAAAUUUAAAACAUAAAAUUAUUAGAAGUAAAUAAAAAAAUAAAAACCGCAAAGUGCUGCAAAGUGAAGUGCUGUAAAGUGCCGUACAAGCUCAAUAAAAAAAGUGCCGUAAAGCACGACGGUCAUAAAACUGCCCUUAAGCGAGACUGUCGUAAAGUGCAGGAAAGCGUGAUUGUCGUAAAAGACUGCUGUAAAGCACGACUGCUGGAAAACUGUCGUAAAAGGUGACGUAAAGCGUGACUGUUGCAAAACUGUCGUAAAAGGUGCUGUAAAGCGCAGCUGUCGCAAAACUGUCGUAAGUCGCGACUGUUGUAAGAGGUGUCGUAAAGUGCAACUGCCCUAAAAGGUGACGUAAAGCGCGACUGUGGCAAAAUUGUCGUAAAAGGUGUCGUAAAUCGCGACUGUUGCAAAACUGUCGUAAAUCGCGACUGUCGUAUAGGCUGCCAUAAAGCGCGGC